CGAGGCGGGGUCCCUGUGCGGGAUCCCUGUGCGGGACAGCGCCCUCGCCUCUGCUUUGGCUUCCGGGCAGUGAGGGACAAUCCACGUUGGCCCCUCUCGCAGCCGAGCGAGAAAACCAGUCAUGUCGGUGGAACUGUGUGGUUUUAACCGCGGGGCCCACGUGCGGCCGGUAGCCAUGAUCCCUGCAGUGAGCUGGCGGUAACGAGUGUAAGAGCCCGGUGCGGUGUGGGCGUCGGGCCGGGACAAAAUGGCCCCCGCAGAUGGUGCUCGGCAGCCGGUGGCGUUGGGCCGCCCUGGCGACAUGGCGGAUCCCACCGUGAGCGUCCUGCUGGAGUGAACUUGCACCGCUCAUUGUGAUGCAGCUCCAAACUGGUAGCAAGUGACUUUGCUGUUUCCCACUCGUCCUAAAUAAAUAAGUAUAUUGUCCUUUGUAUCCAGUGGAAACCUCUAUCAGAAUCCUGUGCCUGUUUUUUGGUAACUGCUGGGCCAGUGCUGCUGCUUCUCAGUGGAGUGCAGGGUCCCCCAGCCUGCUGAUCUGCCAGAACUGUGCCUGCCAAAGCAGAGUUGUUGGGAAGAUUGCUGUUCACAACACCCUGUGAAGUGAAGCAUUUGGAGGAGAUCCAGUGGUGGCUGAAGAGUGCAUGACACAAGCUGGCAGGUGGUACAGCUGCAUUUGCAACUAUGACAUGACCUGGUGACCAGCAAAAUAAUGGAAUUGAGAGCCAAUGAGUAGUCAGUGUAAGUGGCAUGGACUCAGCUGUAAACUCAAGCCCCAUGCUAACAUAUGUUGGCUGAAGCUCUUUGGAGGAAAGAAGACAGUCUGAGGAACAAAGGGGAGAGAAGGAGGAUUCACCUUUCAGUGAGUACAGGCUCUUAAAAACUUACUGAGAUGUGAUAUGUAACUUCAUGUCAAAAUUAAACAGCCCAGGUUAAAACAUUCACUUAGAAUGUGUGCUGGUGACAUGGUAAAGCAGCCUCAGGAAGAGCCUUCUCAAGGCAGAACAUUUCUAGUACUGUUAAGAAAUUUGACAGUCUAGGCACCCUGGAUGGAGCUU